rnacentral:rRNA from 1 species
GUGGAUUAGAUACCCUUGUAGUCCACGCUGUAAACGAUGAGCACUAGGUGUCGCGGGUAUUGACCCCUGCGGUGCCGCAGCUAACGCAUUAAGUGCUCCGCCUGGGGACUACGGCCGCAAGGUUAAAACUCAAAGGAAUUGACGGGGGCCCGCACAAGCGGUGGAGCAUGUGGUUCAAUUCGACGCAACGCGAAGAACCUUACCUGGGCUAGACAACGGAGGACAGCCUCAGAGAUGGGGUCUUCCCUUCGGGGACCUCCGGUUCAGGUGCUGCAUGGCUGUCGCCAGCU